CAUCAGAUCGACCAUGUUGAUCU
rnacentral:piRNA from 1 species